GACGAACGCUGGCGGCGUGCUUAACACAUGCAAGUCGAACGGAAAGGCCCUGCUGUUGUGGGGUGGUGGAGUGGCGAACGGGUGUGUAACACGUGAUUAACCUGCCUUUGACUUUGGGAUAACUUCAGGAAACUUGGGCUAAUACCGGAUAGGAGCUCUUGCUUCAUGGUGUGGGUUGGAAAGUUUCGGCGGUUGUGGAUGGACCCUCGGAUUAUCAGCUUGUUGGUGGGGUAGUGGCUUACCAAGUCUUUGACGGGUAGCCGGCCUGAGAGGCUGACCAGCCACAUUGGUACUGAUGUACGGCCCAGACCCCUACUGGAGGCAGCAGUGCGGAAUAUUACACAAUCCGCGGAAGCAUGAUGUAGCAACCCCGCGCGCGGGAUGCCGGCAUUAGGGUUAUAAACCGCUUUCGCCUGCCCCGACGCGGGCGUGACGUUAAUCGAUAAAGAAGCACCGCCUAACUCCGUG
rnacentral:rRNA from 1 species